AUUGAACGCUGGCGGCGUGCCUAACACAUGCAAGUCGAGCGGUAACAGGUGUAGCAAUACAUGCUGACGAGCGGCGGACGGGUGAGUAACGCUUGGGAAUCUGCCUAUUAGUGGGGGACAACCCGGGGAAACUCGGGCUAAUACCGCAUACGCACUACGGUGGAAAGCCCGGGGACCNCAAGGCCUGGCGCUAACAGAUGAGCCCAAGUCGGAUUAGCUAGUUGGUAGGUAACGCCACCAAGCGACGAUCCGUAACUGGUCUGAGAGGACGACCAGUCACACCGGAACUGAGACACGGUCCGGACUCCUACGGGAGGCAGCAGUGGGGAAUAUUGGACAAUGGGCGAAAGGCCUGNUCCAGCGACGCCGCGUGGGUGAAGAAGCCUGCGGUU
rnacentral:rRNA from 1 species